UACGGGGGGGGCAAGCGUUGUUCGGAAUUACUGGGCGUAAAGGGCUCGUAGGUGGCCAACUAAGUCAGACGUGAAAUUCCUCGGCUUAACCGGGGAACUGCGUCUGAUACUGGAUGGCUUGAGUUCGGGAGAGGGAUGCGGAAUUCCAGGUGUAGCGGUGAAAUGCGUAGAUAUCUGGAGGAACACCGGUGGCGAAGGCGGCAUCCUGGACCGACACUGACGCUGAGGAGCGAAAGCCAGGGGAGCAAACGGG
rnacentral:rRNA from 1 species